CCUACGGGAGGCAGCAGUGAGGAAUAUUGGUCAAUGGCCGGAAGGCUGACCCAGCCAAGCCGCGUGAAGGACGAAGGUGCCCAGCAUUGUAAACUUCUUUUGUCAAGGGACAAAAUCAGGCUCGAGAGCCUGACCGUGGGUACUUGAAGAAAAAGCAUCGGCUAACUCCGUGCCAGCAACCGCGGUAAUACGUAGGAUGCGAGCGUUAUCCGGAGUUAUUGGGUUUAAAGGGUGCGUAGGCGGACUGUUAAGUCAGCGGUAAAAUCCCGGGGCUAAACCCCGGCGAGCCGUUGAAACUGGCUGUAUUGAGAUGGCGAGAGGUAUGCGGAAUGCGUAGUGUAGCGGUGAAAUGCUUAGAUAUUGCGCAGAACGCCGAUUGCGAAGGCAGCAUACCGGCGGCGAUCUGACGCUGAGGCACGAAAGCGUGGGUAUCGAACAGGAUUAGAUACCCGAGUAGUC
rnacentral:rRNA from 1 species